rnacentral:rRNA from 1 species
CGCGUAGGCGGCUUGGUCAGUCGGAUGUGAAAGCCCCGGGCUUAACCUGGGAAUUGCAUUCGAUACUGCCGAGCUAGAGUAUGGGAGAGGGAAGUGGAAUUUCCGGUGUAGCGGUGAAAUGCGUAGAUAUCGGAAGGAACACCAGUGGCGAAGGCGACUUCCUGGCCCAAAACUGACGCUGAGGUGCGAAAGCGUGGGUAGCGAACA